GUUAUAUAUAGCACUGGAUAACACAUGCAAGUUGGAUAAAAACGAUAUUGAAGAGGAUCCAACCAGCUAUUCUCAAGAAAAUGCUGUUUUAGUUUUUCUUUUGUCUAUUUUUGUAAAUUUAAAUAAAAAUUAUGUUGAUUUUA